CAGGUACGCUGGAUUCUUCUGAUACUGACUUAAGAGUGUCCAGCAGGCUGACGAUCAACAUCUGGAGUUUCGCUCUGAAUCGUGACCUCCUCUUUGUGCUUCUGUGGCUCGUGGGACCAUAAAUUGGUCACCGUGGCGACCAGCAGGAUGAUUGAAAGUCCCCCGUCUGACUUUCUGAGGUCAGCCGCCACUUGUUCACCAUCACUCUGCUCUGCAGCUGGUCUCCUUUUCCACAGUGCAGUGUCACAGUGUUGAAGAGAAAACACGAUGGCGCACUCCACUCCUCGCACACUCGAUCACGCAGGAAACGCAGGGGUUGGUCCAGCGACGAGAAGCACAGAGGUGCCGUCUUAUAAAGGAGCUGGAACACUCUCGUGACGAGCCACAGGUGCGUGAUUGCAACCAGGUGCGUGGGUCAAGGGCAGGAGCCCACAGGAGAGCUCCGCCCAGGUAGAUGGAGGAGGGAGAGAGAGGAAGGGAGAGAGCACGAACAAAAAUGAAAGUAAAAACAUGUAGCCAUGCUGAGCCGACCGGGUAGGCACAGGGACCCUGACAGUUAGAGGAAAUGUUCAUGUCAGGGUUAGUCUGUAUGCACUCAGAGGUCAUUUGUACCUGCUGCUGCUGCUGCUGCGGUUGUAAUGAUGUAAACCCUGAUUGGUUGGAUAGUUUGGUAGGAUUUAUCAUUGAUAAAAUGACACAGCACUUUGGAGUCUGUACCUGCUAAGAAACAAACCCAGCAGACUGUUUCACUCUGUCAGUGACUUUAUGUUUGUUGUAUGUUUUUCUCCUCAGAUCCUUCAGAGUGUUUAGAGCUCAUCAUUAAUGAA